GACGUCAUAGAGGGUGAGAACCCCGUAUGAUUUUGGAUACUACUCUUUGUGGGAUUCUAUCGAAGAGUCGAGUUGUUUGGGAAUGCAGCUCUAAGUGGGUGGUAAAUUCCAUCUAAAGCUAAAUAUUGGCGAGAGACCGAUAGCGAACAAGUACAGUGAUGGAAAGAUGAAAAGAACUCUGAAGAGAGAGUGAAAAAGUACGUGAAAUUGCUGAAAGGGAAGGGCUUGAGGUCAGACUUGGUGUUUAAUGAUUAUCAGUUCUUCUUGGACUGUGCACUCGUUUUUCACCGGGCCAAUAUCAGUUUUAGCGGUAGAGUACCCCUUGAAAUGUGGCUUCCUUCGGGGAGUGUUAUAGUCUUGGGGAGAUCUACUUGCUGGGACUGAGGACUGCGCUUCGGCAAGGAUAUUGGCGUAAUGACCUUAAGCCGC
rnacentral:rRNA from 1 species